AACAACAGAACUGUCUCCUGGUCAACGGAACUCUGCCUUCAACAAUAAAUACUGGAAUAAUCCAGACGGCCUACUUAAAUAUGGACACUGAUGAUGCAACAAAAAGUCUUCAUUUACAACAAAGGUACUUUGGGGCUGACAGACAGCCAUUGUGAAGGACACAAUCUGGCAAAAAUUUACCUGCAGAAGUGAAUGGGAAGAUAUGGGCUCUGAGGAAAAACUCUACACACAGACGCUCUACACACAUAGACGGCUCAAUGCUGCUAACUGGCAGAGCAGCUGGAAAACUAAAAGACAAGAAAAGAAGAACAUUAAUACGGACGACUGUAUUAUUUUUCUUCAAGGACCAGGUCAAGCAAAGACAGUGAUGAGCACUCAGAGCAAACAGUCAGACGCAGGAUUACACACUGGACUUUAGAGUUCUUCAACAUGUGAUGUUGGACAUUUACUGUUUCUAAAGCCAAUAAUUUAUGUGGAUGCCAUUUAUAGACCUGUUAGAUUUUGUUUUAUUUUUUAGAUUAAUAAAAUUGUAUGUUUUAACAAUGUUAUAGCUAAGCUUUUUCU